GAUGAACGCUGGCGGCGUGCUUAACACAUGCAAGUCGAACGAAGACAUCUGAGUGCUUGCACUUGGAUGGACUGAGUGGCGGACGGGUGAGUAACGCGUGGGUAACCUGCCUUGUACAGGGGGAUAACAGUUGGAAACGGCUGCUAAUACCGCAUAAGCGCACAGUACCGCAUGGUACAGUGUGAAAAACUCCGGUGGUGUGAGAUGGACCCGCGUCUGAUUAGCUAGUUGGUAAGGUAACGGCUUACCAAGGCGACGAUCAGUAGCCGGCCUGAGAGGGUGAACGGCCACAUUGGGACUGAGACACGGCCCAAAACUCCUACGGGAGCAGCAGUGGGGAAUAUUGCACAAUGGGGGAAACCCUGAUGCAGCGACGCCGCGUGAGUGAUGAAGUAUUUCGGUAUGUAAAACUCUAUCAGCAGGGAAGAUAAUGACGGUACCUGACUAAGAAGCACCGGCUAAAUACGUG
rnacentral:rRNA from 1 species